rnacentral:rRNA from 1 species
UAAUACGAAGGUGGCAAGCGUUGUUCGGAUUCACUGGGCGUACAGGGAGCGUAGGCGGUUGGGUAAGCCCUCCGUGAAAUCUCCGGGCCUAACCCGGAAAGUGCAGAGGGGACUGCUUGGCUAGAGGAUGGGAGAGGAGCGCGGAAUUCCCGGUGUAGCGGUGAAAUGCGUAGAGAUCGGGAGGAAGGCCGGUGGCGAAGGCGGCGCUCUGGAACAUUUCUGACGCUGAGGCUCGAAAGCGUGGGGAGCAAACAGGAUUAGAUACCCUGGUAGUCCACGCCUUAAACUAUGGAUACUAAGUGUCGGCGGGUUACCGCCGGUGCCGCAGCUAACGCAGUAAGUAUCCCGCCUGGGAAGUACGGCCGCAAGGUUGAAACUUAAAUGAAUUGACGG